UAAAAACAAAGAUAUUUCUUAUUUUGAGAACGGCAUCUAUAAAAGAUUUUCCACUAAGGUAAAACUUCCACAAGGUAAAACUUCCGUAACUUCCCCUAGACUCAUGCCAGGUGAAGUCUCAUCUCAUGCGGUAACUGAAGUUUGAACCACGCGCCCACGCGCGAUUUGGAGGAGCGUAGUCAUAAGUCGUAACCUCCCCGACCCAAACCAAAACUAACCCAAUCUGGCACGGAAGAACUCCGGACUCGUGAACCCGUUCCAACGCCCCACCCUGCCUAACCCAGGACCUUAGCCCAACCGAUCCAUCAUCGUAAUUCAGAACAUUUGACCACUCCAACCACCGCCACCUCCACCGCCGGCGCACCGCCGUUGGUCUCUUCUCUCUCUGCGUCUCAUGGCUGCAGAAGAAAACCACACAGCGGCAGCAAUCUUCAACGAGGAAGACCUCGACGACGACGAUGAGGAGGACGAAGAAGAGGAGGACGAAGAUGAAGAAAUCCUAACUCUGACCCCUAAUAAGCCGCUUCAGUCUCUACAAAACGACGUUGUCUUUGACGAAGACGAAGAGGAGGAGGAGGAAGAGGACGUUAACACUCCCUCUUCCUCCUCUAAUCUCGCCGGCGAGCCUCUGCCCACUUCCGCCCGCCAGGUCACCAUCGCCGUCCCCGGAGACCCGACCCUCGCCGCCGCGGUUCCCGACCCCAAACGGCAGCGCGUUGAGGAGCCGUCCCGGAGCGCUCCCGAGGAGAAGAAGCCCUCCGCACUCGAUGAGUCGCGGAGACUGUUUCAGCGGCUGUGGACUGAUGAAGACGAGAUCGAGCUCUUGCAGGGGUUUCUGGAAUACACCGCUCAGCGAGGGACCGCACAGCAUCACCAUCAUGAUACGGCGUUGUUCUACGAUCAGAUCAAGGGGAAGUUGCAGCUGGACUUCAACAAGAACCAGCUUGUUGAGAAGCUGAGGAGGUUGAAGAAGAAGUACCGGAAUGUUACGAAUCGGAUCACUUCGGGGAAAGAGUUCUCCUUUAAGAGCCUGCACGAUCAAGCCACCUUCGAGAUCUCUCGCAAGAUCUGGAGUAACACUGGGCGUGUAGCCACUGUUGCCGAGGACACCACGUUCGAAGAAGAGGAUGCGAACCCUAGCCCUAACCCUAACCCUAAUCCCAAUCCCGGCAGUAAUUAUCAUAAUAAUACUGGCGUUGAUGGGAAUGUGAAUAGUGCUGAGAAGAAAGCAUCGAGAUCGCGGAAGCGAUCGCAAGUCAAAACUCCGGAGAAACACAAUGUCUUGAACAAUACUCAACUAGGGUCCCAGUCUUCUAUACCGAGCUUGGUUGAGGAGACCGUGAGAAGUUGUUUGUCACCCUUGUUCAAGGAGUUACUACAUAGUGCGACCAAUGGACCUUGCGGAGUUCGCGGGUUUGGAGGAAUGGCAUCGUUCAAUCCAAUGCCAUUGAGUUUUGGAGGGCCGUCGAUGUGUAAUUUUUCAGGUGGGGAUGUGGUGGAUGAGAAGUGGAGAAAGCAACAAAUUUUGGAGUUGGAGGUUUAUGCCAAGCGGUUGGAGUUGGUGCAGGAUCAGAUCAAGUCGGCGCUUGAGGAAUUGAGGUCGAUGGGAAGUGGAUAGGGUUUUCUCUUUGAUUGAGCAUAGAUAGAAAACAAUGCCUCAUUGCUAACUGUCUGGUAUUGAGAGACAUCUAUCCAAGUUCAUACCCAGGGUGGCCUUUGCUCAUUGAUAAGGGUGUUGGACGCAAAUGUGUGGGUCAUGGGCUCAAGUCAGGGAAACAGCCUCUCCAAAAUGUGGAACCUAUCAAUGCUGCCCCCUAACCCCAGAUGUCAUGUGGGAGCUUUGUUCACUGGGUGAUCUGCUGUUAUUGUCAUGGUUUAUAUGUGAAAUCAUAUCUAAAUUAUUGUGGUGGUGGAGAAUGUACACUUAUUAUCGAGGUCUUGAAACAGUUCUAUUUAUCAAAUCCGAAGCUUCGAGUCAGCAUAAUUCGGAGCUGCAGACCUCGAACUCUAUGAGUUGAUACUAAAGAAAAUUCAGCUUUUAUUGCUUUUAUCUUAUUAGAGGGAUGGUGGAGUACACUCACCCUUUCCAUAAUGACUCCUGAAGAAGACUGAAAAUUUAAUUGCACUAAAUAUUUUCUGUUGUCUGUACUAAAGUCUCAGUUUAGUUAUCAGAAGAAUCUAAGUUAAUAUUAUGGACUGUUCAUAACCA